UUUUAGCAUCCCAAGCAGGCCAAGUCUUUUAUGUGAGUGACACCAAACUUCGUGGUAAUUGGAAGGUUGUGCAAAAAGUUAAAUCGAGAAAUCUGUAUGAUGUUUUGGUGACGGAGGAAGUUGUCGAAUUGAAGGAGAAAAUGACAAUGAAGCAUAUCAACAAGAGGAACAUGUUGCUAUGAAUGGCAUUGUUCAAGAUGAACCAAUAGUAGAGGCAGGCGAAGGUAAUGUUCGAAAUGAAGAUGUCGUACAAACAACAAGAAUGGAAGAUUUAGAUCUUGAUGAGGUUCAUAUGAGUGAGGUCUUGGCUGUCAAUGAACGAUACCAAUUAGAGGAUGACUUCAUUGAUGAUGCUGAAAUUGGUGAUGAAGAUGAUACUUUAAUGGACUAAUGCAGUGAACAAGAAAAAACCAUAUCGAGUGAUGACGACACAAACAUAGAAUAUAAGUUCACAUAUAGCUGCUAUCGAGGUAUACAAUGUAUUUUAUUGAAUGCCACUACCUCGUUUAUUUUAUUAAAUGCCACUACCUCCUUUCUGUUAUUUAUACUGAGUGUUAUUAAAUCCAUUUUUUAUGUAUAGGUAUGGUACUAGGAAUUCGAUCAUGAUCAAGGUCAAGUGUACAAUCUGUGGUCAUUUACCGAAAGUCGUUGCCAUUAUUUUUACUGGUCUUUUCUAACAUAAAAGGUACUAUUCUCUUGUGGUCAUUGAUAUUUUUGUUGUUUGGCGACAAAUACUGUCAACCUACUUCUUCCUUUACUAUCUAGAAGAAGUGUUCCCAUCCCUGUUUAACCUCCGUGAAACCUCUAUCUCCUUUGUGUUGUAGGUUCUCCCUGUCCGUCUGCUCCUUUGGUUCUUUUAUUUUGUUUUGGUAUGGUGCAAUGCGGAUAGAGAACUAAAACAGAACUGAAGAAAAAGAAGGGACUGCUGCAGGGUAUGGCACAACUGAUAGAAUCGCUGUUUUACAAUAUUUUGUUGAAUUGUCCGAUCAUUUGCUAAGCUAGUUGAGGUUCUGCAAUGUAUUGGUCUUAUAACACACUACUAAGGACAACAAUGUAAUAACAGACAAGACAACUAAUCAGUAUGUUCUGGUCAAUUGAAAUAUGAGAAGAGGCUUUCUAGUUUGGUUCUGCUUUAUUGUCUUGGAACAAAUCUGUUUCUUUGAAGUGUGUA
rnacentral:lncRNA from 1 species